GGCUGUACAUGUUUGUUUAGAUAGCAGCGGCGUCAUUAGGAGAGUUUGUGCGGUUUAAACCUCUGAUGUUUUGCGAAUAUUAUUUGUGUUAAUAUCAUCUUGUUCUGGUAUUUAAAAGGCCUUCAUUUGGAAACCAGCGCGUCGCUUUUUAACGUCAUAGGUUUGUUGUUGUUGUUGGGACAUCAAUUAACGUUGCACCCCAGGAAACGCGGACUGGUCACGUGAUCGGCUUAAUGCGCAUUUUAAUGAAACGUUUUAUAUGUUAUAUAAAUCUAGAGAUAGAAGAAGUGACAGCAUGCAUGAAUAAACAUCACCUUUAAGUUAUUACACCCCUUUACAUCACUUUAAGAGAUAAGGUCGCAAUUUUCACCCCAAACUAGGCUCCAUUCAGUGACAUUGCAGUUACAAGCCAGCAGAAGUCCAAUUCAUUUCAAAUCCAAAAGCAAGCUAUUCAAUUAAAGCACAUUUUAAGGCAUAACAGACAUAAGAAUAAUAUUGUAAAUAACUAUUUACAUUCAUUAAGGUGUAAUAUACAUCAGUGCAUCUGCAGCAGGCUGUACACUGCGUCAUUGGUGGUCACGUGUGUGUCAGGGAUGGAGCUGUACACAUGAUACGUGUCGACC
ensembl:lncRNA